AGAGUUUGAUCCUGGCUCAGAUUGAACGCUGGCGGCAUGCUUUACACAUGCAAGUCGAGCGGCAGGCGCGGGGGGCAACCCUGGCGGCGAGCGGCGAACGGGUGAGUAAUGCAUCGGAACGUGUCCCGUAGUGGGGGAUAACCCGGCGAAAGCCGGGCUAAUACCGCAUAUGCUCUACGGAGGAAAGGGGGGGAUCCGCAAGGACCUCUCGCUAUGGGAGCGGCCGAUGUCCGAUUAGCUUGUUGGUGGGGUAAUGGCUUACCAAGGCGACGAUCGGUAGCUGGUCUGAGAGGAUGAUCAGCCACACUGGGACUGAGACACGGCCCAGACUCCUACGGGAGGCAGCAGUGGGGAAUUUUGGACAAUGGGGCAACCCUGAUCCAGCCAUGCCGCGUGCGGGAAGAAGGCCUUCGGGUUGUAAACCGCUUUUAGUCGGGAAGAAGAGGCCUGGGCGAAUACCCUGGGUUUUGACGGUACCGGCGGAAUAAGCACCGGCUAACUACGUG
rnacentral:rRNA from 1 species